rnacentral:tRNA from 1 species
GCGGAUGUAGUUCAAUGGUAGAACACGAGCUUCCCAAGCUUGGGAUGGGGGUUCGAUUCCCCUCAUCCGCU